ensembl:lncRNA
CAUCAUUUCUGUAGCCAGCGGUUCUGAACCUUGGCUACACAUUAGAAUCAGCUGAGGAACUUACACUUCUCUGCCAGGCUCCCCACCUCCCCCAGGAUCUGACUUAAGCGGUCUGGAAAGUGGCCCAGGCAUAACCAUUUGGGGGACCCUGGUGAUUCUCAUGGGCAGGUAGAGCCUGGGAACCACUGGGAAGCCCUGGCUUGGUCUCCAAAGCACAGGUUCUAAGGAGAGUAAAUGGAAGCUAGAAAAGGAGGAUGGUGGAAGAAACGAGACUUAGAAAUAAAGGAUUAAAGAGAAACUAAUCAGGACACAAAAUGCAAAGACGAAAAGGUUGAGAACUCCUCCCACCUCAAAAUAGCUUUUCUUUCACACCAGGCACUAGUUAGCUGCAAAAAUGUGAUCUCUACACAGAAGUUGAUAAUAAGAGGCCGCUCCCAAAGCUGCUGGAGCAGGUGUUUCCUCCCAAAAGAGGGCGGGCCAGAACUAUAAAUCUCAUUUUGGAAGUUUCAAGCCCUGGGGAUACUAUUCUGCGUUGCUGCCACUCUCGCUGCCAUCUGUACCGAAUCUCAGCUCCCGUUUCUGGGGCAGCCCUCCAUCCAACUGGCAGCCCCACAGUUUGCAUUCUUGCACAGUGUGUGAAUGGAGGGGGAGAGCCUUUGGCAAGGCAGCCCUGGGGUCUCCUUCCCUCAAAAGAUUUGCCAGUGAUCCUUGCCCUGCUGGCUUCCUCUUUAAUUGGCCCACGCUGUGGGGAGCAAUUGAGAUUAAAUGGCCGCUUGCUGGGUGGCUGUGCUGUGCUAGGCGUGCGUGGCCCUAUUUGGAGCAUUUGUUGUAUCCAGGAUUGAAUGAAGCAAGUGCUGCUGCUGAAGCUCGCGGGGUGUUCCUUGAAGCCAUGUCAAAGCAGGCUCUUAAUUUUGCAAAACAGCCUCCAAAGUCAAACUGGCUCUGUACCGGAGCCAUUCCGGGCAGAGGGAUGUCACGAGCAGAAGCCAGAAGGCACAGAAAGAAGUGGGCAGAAGGAAAUUUAGGGCUAUGAAUCAAGAAAAUAGGUUAUUGUGCAACUGCCAGCUUGCUUUGAAUAGCCAGCAAGGACAGGGAGGGAUCCCCCUCCAUUCAUAGAGUUCAGCCCAACGUGCUGGGAUAUCACUAAAUGGAAAAGAAGAGCAUCCAGGACAAUCAGCCUGUGAGAGGCAGCCCUGUGCUCGUUGCCUCAGGGCAGAAGUCACAAGCAACCUGGGACUCCACAGGACUUGUUUCCAAAUCUGAACCCCUUGGGUCUAGGGUAGAAUUCUCAGGAAAGAUUAAUCUCUCUGGGAGAAGAAGUUGCCGUGUUAUGAACAGCUCUAGGAAAGGCCCAAGUUGUAAAGAACUGAAGCCUCUGGAUGAUAGCUAGUAAGGACCUGAAGGCUUCAAUACAACAGACUGAAGUAACUGAGGCCUGCCAAUGACCACGUGAGUGAGCUUGGAAACAGAGUCUCCAUCCUCAGUCAAGCCUUGAGGUGACUGCAACCUCCUAAGAGACUCUGAACAAGAACCCCCUAGCUCAGCCACUCCCAGAUUACUGGCCCUCAAAAACUCUGUGAGAUAAUAAAUGUUUGGUGUUUU